rnacentral:tRNA from 1 species
GCUCAGUUGAGCUAGCUCAGCCAGUAGAGCACGAGACGCUUAAUAUUAAGGUUGUGGGUUUGAGCCCCAUGUUGGGUG